UGAGGAAUUUACGUAGGAAUCACUUCAUAAGGAUGCUGCUCAAGGAUUGCAGUCUUCCUUACAUCACAGUAAUUUCUUUUUGACAGAAAGUUUUCAGUGAGGAGAGUCAGCUAGGCUGCCGGCCAUGUUUUCGCUAGGCCUGAGUUUUAGGUAGGCCACCAUUCAGCUGUGGAAUUACAGCUGCAUGUACCUGUGGGUACAAUCAUCCCUCAGAUGGGAAGAUUACAGAUUUGUGGAUGCAGCUAUGUGGAAAAAUGAUCUUAAUUACAGCUGUCCAUGUGCGCUGCCAGACAGGUGUGACUGCCAGGCUGAGCUUUUGAAAAGAGGCCCACUGGCUUCAACUGCGAUGCCAGCCUCACCUCUGCCAGAGCCAAGUUACACACAGAUACUAAGGAACUCAGUUGCUUGGAGACCUGCAUCUUGUUAUCCGUGCUGAAAGGCCAGAUCUAAAGUAGCAAGUGCACACGGGAAGAAAAUGAGAAAGACAGGCUUUGUCUUUCUCCAAUUUGUUGGCUGCUCACCCAUCCCUUAAAAAAAGUCUUGGAUUCCUUUUUGGGGGCAUGUCAAUGUGUGUAAGUAGGAGCUGGCAAGUUGCCACGUUUAGAUGAUCAU